GAUGAACGCUGGCGGCGUGCCUAAUACAUGCAAGUCGAGCGGACGGACGAGAAGCUUGCGGCGCGGAUGUUAGCGGCGGAGGGGAGAGUAACACGUGUAUAACGUACCUAUCUUACGGGGAUAACUUCGGAAAACGGGAUCUAAUACGGGAGAAGAUUUUGAAGCGCAGGGGGCAAAAGUGAGAGACGGUCUUGCGGUCACGUAUAGAGGGAUCCCCGCUGCAUUAGCUAGUUGGUAAGGUAACGGCUUACCAAGGCAACGAUGCAUAGCCGACCUGAGAGGGUGAUCGCCCACAUUGGAGCUGAGCCACCGUCAUGACUCCUGCGGGAGGCCGCAGUCUGGAAUCGUCGGCAGCAGUCGAGAACCUUGCGGAGCAGCCGCGCGCGAGUGAUGACGGUGCUCCGAUCGUGAUGCUCUGUUAUUGGUGGUGAACCUAUGUCUCCUUAGCCGUGCAGUUAUUGACGGUACUUAGUCAGAAAGCCCCGGCUAACUACGUG
rnacentral:rRNA from 1 species